rnacentral:rRNA from 1 species
CCUUUGACAUUAGCGGCGGACGGGUGAGUAACACGUGGGUAACCUACCUAUAAGACUGGGAUAACUUCGGGAAACCGGAGCUAAUACCGGAUAAUAUUUCGAACCGCAUGGUUCGAUAGUGAAAGGUGGUUUUGCUAUCACUUAUAGAUGGACCCGCGCCGUAUUAGCUAGUUGGUAAGGUAACGGCUUACCAAGGCGACGAUACGUAGCCGACCUGAGAGGGUGAUCGGCCACACUGGAACUGAGACACGGUCCAGACUCCUACGGGAGGCAGCAGGC